UACGUAGGGGGCAAGCGUUGUCCGGAAUCAUUGGGCGUAAAGAGCGUGUAGGCGGUCCGGUAAGUCGGUUGUGAAAGCCCAGGGCUCAACCCUGGGAUGCCGACCGAUACUGUCGGACUAGAGUUCGGAAGAGGCGAGUGGAAUUCCCGGUGUAGCGGUGAAAUGCGCAGAUAUCGGGAGGAACACCUAUGGCGAAGGCAGCUCGCUGGGACGUUACUGACGCUGAGACGCGAAAGCGUGGGGAGCGAACAGG
rnacentral:rRNA from 1 species